rnacentral:rRNA from 1 species
UACGUAGGGUGCGAGCGUUGUCCGGAAUUAUUGGGCGUAAAGAGCUCGUAGGCGGUUUGUCGCGUCGACUGUGAAAACCUACAGCUUAACUGUGGGCUUGCAGUCGAUACGGGCAGACUUGAGUUCGGUAGGGGGGACUGGAAUUCCUGGUGUAGCGGUGAAAUGCGCAGAUAUCAGGAGGAACACCGGUGGCGAAGGCGGGUCUCUGGGCCGAUACUGACGCUGAGGAGCGAAAGCGUGGGGAGCGAACAGG